rnacentral:lncRNA from 1 species
CUGCACUCCAAGUGCCUAGUCUCCUUGACUAUCUGGAGAGAACAGCCUCUCUCUCCUACCUGCUUCCUGGGAGGAAGCCAGCAAUCCCUCUCCUUUACCUGCCUAGCAGGUUGGAGUUUAUUCCCACUGCAACAGCUCAUUAACUGCAGCUGAGCAGUGGGUUGGAGAGGAUCCAAAAAACCCUGGCCUGGAUCCAUGUCUCCCCAGAAAACCACUAAACUGUGGAGUGGAGCAUUGACCCACCCUUCUCUCCAAAUGCUCCACCACAGGGGCCCAUAACUAAACAGCGUUUUGUGUUGCCUACAACACAUCCUACACAUACUCCCCCUGGGGUUAAAAGGCCUAUCUGCCUUCACUUUAUCACAAUAUAUAUAUAAUGUAUAUGUAAUACAUUCUCACGAUAUUAGAUGGAAUAUUUACAGAUAAUCAACCCCUAGUUUCCAAAGUAUUAAGUCUAUGUAUCCAAAAGGUUUCUCUCUGGGACAAUUUCUUAACCCUAUCUCCUCCACACCAGAAAGGUAAGACCUUUUCGAUGUCUUUACAUUUAAGGUCCCCAAAAUAAAAAACAGGGCAGCUGUUACAAUGAACUGGAACAGAAUGGGUUGUGAGAUUUUUUUCUUUUGUUAUUCAGAUGUUCCAGUAAUUUGACCUUUAGGGGACGUUUUGUACGGCCCACAUAUUGUUUGCCACAUGGACACUGCAGCAAAUACGCUACAUGGUCCGUGUGGCAACCUAUCUCUGUUCUGAUUUUAAACACUUCCCCUGUGACAACGCUGGAAAACUCAUUGGUUCUCUCAAUAGGUGCCGUGGUGAAGGCAUUACAUAAACCACAGUCCCUAAAGGAUCCAAGAUUCACCAUAGUAUUAUCUCUAAUAGGUUUAAUAGCAUAACUCGGGGCCAGCAUGUUCUUAAAGCUUUUAUUUAUUUUUUUAAUAUCACCGUUGGACGGUCCGAUAUACAAUUUCUCCGAACCGGGUCCUGCAAUAAAAUGGGCCAAAAAUUCUUUAGGCUUCUUUUUAUUUUAUGAUGGUCAGUGUUAUACUAGGUAACAAAAACAGAUUUAAAGUCAAUAUUAGCAGUAACCAAAGGUGGUUUAUCCUCCAACAAUGUGUUGCGCUCCAGAAGACCGAUGGAGUGAAUUUCCUUAUCUAAUGUAUUUUUGUUAUAACCCUUCUCAAGAAGUUUAUUUUUUAUAUGUAAGGAUUGGGUCUGAAAAUCCUGGAAAUCCCAACUCAUUAUCAAACAUUCGAGAGAGAUGCAAAAUAAAUUAGAAGCUGAACUGAUUGAUUUGGACUCCACCCCUUCUGUAGAUACCGAGGGGAGGGAAUUAAAGGAAAGAGAAGAGAUCCUACAUAAUAAUAUUAAAAAAAACUAGAUGAAAAAAUUGCAGAAACAAAAAAUAAAAAGUAUAGCAGAGAUAGGGAGGACAAAUUAUUAAACCCCUUCUCUACCCAUAAUAAAUUAAUAAGGAGAAAAUCACGCUCUCUCCCUCAAAAUAAGAUUAAAGGACUCCCUGAAAUAGAGUAAGAAAUAAUUCUCAUUCUAGACCAGCACCUAGGGAUCACUAUACAUUCCACUAUGAUAAUUCAACCAAUCCCCAUAGGACACCAAAUAGAGAAAGACAUGGGGUCUUUCUCUAUUUGUCCAGUAGAAUAUCUCAUGAUAGGAGGGAUACCACGAGAUACAAUGCUCAAGUUGCACGAAAUAAAACAGAUAUACAUGGAAACUCCACUCAAUAUAAUGAUCAGGAAUUAAAUUUUCAGGGGAGACCCAGAGGUCCAAAGGAAAAAUAUAUAACCAAUUACUUCUGCCCCAGAACCGAAACUUAGGAACAUCCCAACAGAUUUUCCUCUCUACACCAAGAUUAAUCAAUGCCCCAAAAAUUCAGUGUCCCCUAAGGGAAAAGGAGACUGAUAAGGGUAUCUUCAACUUAACGGGGAUAAGACUAUCAGAUGAGGAGAUUAAUUUACUAUCUAAGGGAAUGAAAUUUGCCCCUAAUAAGAUGUCAAAUUAAUUUCAUCUUUAUAUAGAUCUUAAGAAGUUUAUCCGUUCUUUGACUAUCAAAAGACACUUUCUCUUGCAUUCCUCUAGUCCACAUGUAACCACCAAUGCCGUACAAACAAAGGCUAAUUAUAAAUUCCAACCUAAAUCACACUUCUUCCCUAUCCAGAGAAAAUUUCCUUUUUUUGGAAACCUUCGAACGUAUGGUUGACCAGACAUUCCAAUCUUUUUCCACAAGGGCAAAUAAAAACUUGCGUUCCUUCAAUCUCACUAAGAGGGAAGAAAUUAUUCUGAAGAAUUUUAUGGAACGGGAUGAUCUGGUCAUUAGAGAAGCAGACAAGGGGGGUGGUAUAGGUUUGAUGACCACCUCAUAUUAUCUGAAGUCAUUUAACAUACUGGGGGAUAGAAAAACAUAUACUAUUCUUCACUGUAACCCUACUAUCUCUUUUAAUUCAGAAUUUCAGAAAAUCUUGGUUACUGCUAAAGACAGUGGGAUUAUUUCACAAAAAGAAUUUAGAUUUGUUUUUGUUUCAAAAAAUCCUGUUAUCCCUAUUUUUAAUUUUCUUCCUAAAACCCAUAAACGUCUCCCCAAUCCACCAGGUCACCUCAUCAUUAGUGGGGUAAAUUCAUUAACUGCGAAUUUGUCUGCCUAUGUGGACUCUUUUCUUCAGAAAUAUGCCCAAGGGGCACCUUCGUACAUUAGAGAUACCAAGUCCUUUUUACAGGAACUAGAAAAUAUAGAGUGGGAUCCGGAAUACAGUUGGGCAACAUUGGAUGUGACCUCCUUGUAUACUGUGAUCAGCCACGUAUCGGGAUUGGAAGCACUUGAUUACUAUAUGACCAGAGAUACUGAGUUACCUAUGAGUCAGAAGGAAUUUAUUUUAUCCUCUGUUCAAUUUAUUUUGGAGCACAAUUAUUUCUUUUUCAAUGGUGGAUAUUAUUUACAGACCACGGGGACAACCAUGGGCACCAGGUUUGCCCNNNNNNNNNNNNNNNNNNNNNNNNNNNNNNNNNNNNNNNNNNNNNNNNNNNNNNNNNNNNNNNNNNNNNNNNNNNNNNNNNNNNNNNNNNNNNNNNNNNNAAUCAAUCAAUUACUGACACCUGUCAGAUUGACUGUUCAAUAUGAUUUGGAAUCAAUUAAAUUUUUGGACGUGACAGUAUAUAAGAAAAAUGACAAACUGGAAUUCACGCUACACCGGAAAAAGACUGACCGUAAUACCUUGCUAAUGGCCUGUAGCUUUCAUCCACAACAAUUCAAACGGUCAUUACCCAUAUCUCAAUUCCUUAGAGUUCUCAGAUAUAACACAGAAAUGGAAAGAUGUGAUACUCAGAUUGAAGAGAUGUGGGAAAGAUUUAGAGAACGAGGAUAUUCAUCGCUUGUAUUAAAACUGGCCAAGACUAAAGCACUGGAAAUUUGGAACAAGGAGAGAAUCGAUCCAACAAUAAGAAAUACAUCUACUAAGUCUUCUAAACCUAGAAUUUAUCUCCCAAUGACAUCCCAUACAGGUACACCUAAAAUUAGACAAUCCAUCUACAAGCACUGGGGAAUACUUUGAUCUGAUAAAACAUUACCUGACUGGUCUCAGGAGAUGCCGAUCCAAACUACAAAAGGAACAAAGAUUUAAAGGAUCUUUUGGUGAAAAAUGAUCCAGUAGCAUGUUAUCAUAAAACCACAAUGAUUUCUAAGAAGGGAUGUUACAAAUGCAGUGGAUGUCUGACAUGUAGUCACAUGGUCAGUGGUAUGACUUUUGCACACCCACAUAGUGGUCAAAAAAUUAAAAUAUCACAUUAUAUCACUUGUACCACUGACCAUGUGAUAUAUAUGAUCACAUGUCCCUGCGGUCUCUCAUACGUGGGGAAGACUGAUUUAACAGUACGGGAUCGGAUACGAGGACAUCGGUCCACGAGUAUGAUGGCAUUUAGAGACCAACAUAGUGAUAAGCCUGUGGCUAAACAUUUUUUGACCAUGGGACAUAGAUUACCCACUCUACGGUUCACUGCCAUUGAUCAUAUCCCCCCAAUGCCAAGAGGUGGUGAUAGAUCUAAGAUGUUAUUACAACGAGAAGCCCAAUGGAUACAUCGGUUGGAUACAGUUGCCCCUAGGUGGCUGAAUGAAAAUAUUAUAUUCUCCAUGUUUUUGUGAGAUUUGGACAUAUUUUGUCCGUACAUAUAACUCUUUUUCUAUGUAUCUUUGGAUAAAUUUCUUUGUUUAUAGUCCUUGAGGUCCUUUCUGUACAAGAACAGAGCUACGAGCAUUUCAACUACUGAGAUAAUGAUUUUUAUUAGCAUUAUUAUAUAUGUUUGAUUGAGAUAAUUUUUUCCAUUUGUAAUAUGUGUCUGAUGGAUUAUUAGUAUAUAGCUCUUUAAGAAUGAGCACUAUUACUUUGAUUUAAAGGUUCACCUUUCUAACUCUGGUUUCCUUUUUGUAAAUGUUGAUAAAUACCUUUUAAGAUAACAAACAUCUGUUAGGUUAGGGUUUUGCUCUAUACUGCACUGAUUGUCUUGUUAAACUCUGUACUCUGCUUUGGCCAUAGGAGAUAUUUAGAAUAAUUAUAUGUGUUUCUUCCUUCUAUUAUUGGAUUAAUUGAUAGAAGGUAGUAUAAUAUUACACACUGGGAAUCAUGUAAUAUACAUAUGUUUUACUUGCACUGGGUUUAUUCACUGUUUAUUUUGCACUGUUAUUGAUCGAUUUUCACUUGUCACAACAUCACUUUAAUAGUAUAUAUUGCAGUGUAAAUAUCACUAGCUAUUUGUAUAUUCCACAGAACACACAUAGUUUCACAUAUUUAAUUGAUACAGCAGUGUUUUACACGCUCUUAUUAAUGAUUUGUUUCACUGGUAUCUUAGCAACCAGCUACACGUCAUCACAUCGGUAUCACGGCACAUCACGUGACCGCGGGUUCACUUCCAGGUAUGCACGGAGAGGGUGAGGCAGGCAUUUCACCAUUGGUGAGUACUUUAUUAUAUUUACUAUUUAUUGACUUUACAGAUUUGGGCACAUUGAUCUUGAGGAAGACCCUGAGGGGUCGAAACAUCGAUUUGAUUAUGUAAACCUUCUUUUUAAAUAAAUACCUGUAUAUUGAUUAUAGAAGUCCUUAGAGUGCAUCUCUUAUUUUUGUAUAUAUAUAUUAUAUAUAUAUAUUGUAUAUAUAUAUAUAUAUAUAUAUAUAUAUAUAUUGAUCUAUUCCCAUAAUUUUAAUUGACCAUAUUUUUUACUUUUUAAUUUCCCCCCAUAUAUGUUGCCCACACUAUAUUAAUGGACUAUAGGCUAAUAGAAAAAUGGCAGCUGGAUUGUGUCUAGUGACCUUUGGGGACUGCUACAUCUAUUGAGAUCUCCCAUAAUUGGAGGACUAAUAUGGCUCCCUUUGUGAAACUAAGUGGAAUAAAGAGGAAAAAAAUUAAAAAUAAAAACAAAAAAAUAAGAAAAAAAAACCCAACAACAAAAUGGCCACCAGAGCCAUGCUGCAAGCACCAAGAUGGUGGCCAUGAAGGGUGUAAGUGUCACUGUAUUAGAAUUGGCUAUUGGAGCCAAGGGAGCAUGUGUAGGCGCUCAUUCUUGUCGCCAAAUUCAAUUUAAAAGCUGGGAAUACCAUAUGGGACUUUGUAGGCACCUAAGGAAGCUGCAAGUAGCGUUGAAACGCAUUGUGAUGUGUUCUAUUACUGUGGACUUAUACUCUAUGGCACUCCAGUAACUUGAAUGUAAUAUUUUAUAUUGUCUGUUCAAUAAAUAUUGUUCAUUUUACCUUAACUGGUGUUGCCUUCUCCUGUUUCUCCUACUAUUGAGGAAAAAGAUGCCACUUACUCUGUCUGAAACUACACCUAUUCUUUUCUACCUGAGACAGUUAUUUUAACAGGCUCAGAAAAAUGUGAGUGUAAUACCGCAAGAGAAUAAUAUUAUCCAAGUAUUUACCUGUGAUUACUAUACUACCCGAUAAGAUAUUUUCUGUUUUCUCAUUUUCUGCAGGGAUAAUUAUACCAGACUUUGGGGUAUAUGUGUGCUUUUAUUAUAUCUCAUAAUACAUAUGUAUACACAUUUUAAGAGGGUUGCAUGUUACUGCACUUAUGGAUUAAGUAAGAUAUAACCCACCAUUACAAUAUAUUGUUGUGCACUGUUAUCAUUAUUUCUUUGCUGUGUAGAAUAAACAUUACUGAGUUGUACGAACCUCAUAUGUCAACUUCUCAAAGUACAAAAACCCUAAAAUGGUGUAAAAAAAAGGAGCAUAUUUGUGAUCUUCCAAACCAACUAAGCAAGGUAAGAUACCACCAAGUUCUCAAAAUAUUAUCAGAAAAAAAUUAAACAAAUAUCCUGUGUUAUAGAUUAGCAGUGAAGCCCCUAGUCCAAAUAAACCCAAAAGCAAUACAUAAAAUCAAAAUUUAUAUAGGGAUCAAUGUGUUAUACAUUUCCUUUGGAAUUGGUAUUAUUUUAAUAAAUAUAUAGAUAGUUAGGAUCAAGAACUAGAAAAGGACUAGAUUGCUCUAACACCACAAAAUUGCAGGGUAACUCUUGGAUAAAUCUACUAGAAAAAAACAGUAGCCGUAGAGAAAAUAAAAUAUAAAUGUUAAUAGAAAGAUUUAACUUAGAAUUAGGGAUUAUUCUAGCCUCGGUGAGGGAAUAAUCUAAAUUUUAUUAAAGACAGAAGGCUUCACAUUUGCUUUACCUUCUUUACUGAAACCUCCAGCAGCAAAGAAAUAGUUAACAAAACAACCAAUCAGAACAAAAUAACAGCAGUAUAAAACCACGUAGGCAGACCCUCCCACUUCCUCUUUCUUUGAUGAGGUUGAGCAGGAGAGCAAGGAAACCAACGAAUCCACCUUGUUGCAUGCAUAUCCAGAGAAACAAUAGUCAAACCCAGAGGGAAAAUAGAUUACACUACAAGAAAAAGACAACAUCGUGAAAGUAAACUGUCAAAGCAAGAUGUCAUAUGCAUACAAUAUCACUUGCACAUCAUAGUACAUGAUGAAUAAAAUGCACAUGGACAAUCACCACUGUAUAAUAGAAAUAAUCUUUAUUAUACAAGACCAUGCAUUUACAAAACAUAAUAUCCCCAAUCAAUCAUAAGAGAAAAAGACCCAAUUCCAGGGAGGGAACGUAAAGUGAGGGAAAUAUUCGCCUCCUGUCUUUAAUAAAAUUUUGAUUAUUCCCUCACCGAGGAUAGAAUAAUCUCUAAUUGUAUGGCAAGACAGGAGGCUUUAUAUUUGCAAUUUUAACGCCCAAACAUAAGAACCAGAAGCAAUAUGAGAUGGAGAAUGGAAAUAAAAGGUAAACGGAAAAUCCAGAAGGGACCCAACGGCUUCUAAAGCUGCUGAAGUGGCAAACCCCGAACCAAAUGUGUCCCAAAGGAACUCGCAAAACCAGCCGAUGAGAGAAUCCACCAAAUCCAACGGGAGAGCGAAGGUGCAGAAACAGCCCUAAAUGGUCGGACGUGGAAAUCAACAGCUGCCUAUGAGCAGAAGGACGAAAGGACGAGGUCCUGGAUCUACACGAUCGUGGACAACGUGCCAUACAGAGACAUGGCCUACCUGGAGAAUAGGGAUACGACACAGAAGACGAAUAGAAUUUGGAUUUGUGCGGAAUAGAAGCAGACACACUGGACGGUGAGCAGGAAAAAGAUACUACGUCAAAACCACGAACAUCAGAAUGCAACAAAAAAUACAAGACGUACUGGGAGAGCCGGUUAAGUGUUAAAGCUGUCACAAAGACAAAUCCUUGUCAUCAGGCCACUCCUCAAGGAAAAGCAGAACAAGUGAUACAACUUAAACUGAGGAAUAGCAAGAGGUAGGGCUCCCAUAAGGCAUACCCCUUGAAGUAGACUGCAGACCAAGGGGUCCUUACCAAUGCCAGAAUCUUGAGAAGGCACAUGAGCUGUCGAGCUAGCUGACCUAAGACGUAAAUGGCCCCAUACAAUUUACCCUGAGAGGACAAUUCAGCCAGGCAGUUGAGAACAGCCAUUUUAGAGACUGUAAAAGGGAUCCAAACAUCUCUCCAGACACUAGUCAUCCCAGGAUUCCCUUGUGGAUCCCACAGGUGACAUCUAGAGACAAGGAGUAGUAGAGGGCCUUCCCACGACAACUCCAGCAAGAGAGAGAAUCACGGUUGACUCCUCCAAAGUGGUUUGACCAGGCAAAAUGACACUCCCAGGAGUUAGGUCUGACGCAAUGCCUGAAGUGUCCUGUAGAAAAAGGGGGACGCAUACUGUAGCGGAUGGCACCAGGCGACCCUACAAAUAUACUGUAUAAACCUGCAUUCGUGUAUCUGCUGUAUUUUCUAUGUAUUAAAAAGAAUUGUAUUCCUCUGAUUGUUCGGUAGUUUCAUUCCCUUAGUUUAUUCGAAUGAAACUACCGAACAACCAGACCUCCCCUGUGUGAAGUGUGUCCUCAAUUACCCGUUGCAACAUUGUUGCGAACGGGUAAUUGAACAGUAAGUAGCCGUCCUUUGUUCUCGGGGGUGGCCGCCAUUCGACAAACGAACACGUGGCGGCGGCCAUUUUAAAACUCCCGAACAGCGGUGUUUUGCCGUCGAGUGUCUGGAACUAAAAUCGGACACUCGAGUAGGCGAACACCACUGAGACCUCCACAGCCCUGGUCCGUUCGGUUCCAAACUACCGAACGGCCCCUCGUUCGGUAGAUAGAAAAUACCGAACGAGGGGAUUCAGGCGAACCCUGCCUAGCCUCUAUAGCUAGAGGUUUUUUCGUGUAUUUUAUUCCCUUAUGCCAGGACCGACCGCAGGGCCCAUUCACAUGGAACCGGAUUCGGCUAUCUCCGUUCGUGCGGUCGGUCAUUUUAUUCCCUCCAUACUUUUCCCGAACCCCUGGUCUGAUCUGGGUGAUUUUUGGAUAUGUUGGUCACCCAGAUCAGGGCUACCAGGGGAUGUAUGAUUUAAAGAGUGUGGGGAUAUUUAUGGGAUAAUAAUAGUAACAGUGAGAAUUGCCCACUAAUUCAAUUCUCAGAUCCCAAAGAACGUUUAUCGUGUUAAGUGGAAUGUAUUUCAUAUAAUUGAUAUCACAAUGUAUAAAAAUAGAUUUUAUUUAUGAUAACCAAUAAUUAACAAAUAAUAUUAUGUAACAUGCAUGACAAUAAUCAAUGAAUAUUCAGUAUAAAAUGGUAUGCAAUACAAAGGAAUGGGUAUUACGUUUCAAUGGCUAACUAGCAUUUUCUGUCAAGAAUUCUGACGAUUUAUGAGGUAUCCUUACACAGAUUGAAAGUGAAACUUUUCACACAGAGAACAGAAUUCCUCAGAGUGCAGCGUAAGGUCGUAAAGUUUAGCAGACAGUUAGAAUAACCCUUUCAAUGCUGGCUAGAUCUCCUAGGUAGUUAAGAUCUAUUCUGAUGUCAUUUUAAAUAAAAUAACAUUUAAUCCAGUUUAAAUUCAUUUUCUUAAACCAUCCAAUAAGAGAAUCUAACAUUAUAUAAGCAGAUUUUUAAUUUGUCUAAAAGAUAUCUAUCUUAAUUUAGAGCAAAUCAAUACACCUGGAUAAAAACAGCGGUAUGCUAACACGUGAUAAUAUCACAUCAAUAUAUAAUUAUUCUUAAUUCCACCUGCAGAAUGGAAUGUUUAUAACUAUAUAUUCUUAGUUAACUAAGAUUUCUUAAUAUGGAAAUCUGACCGUGCUUUAUCCAGUCAUAUAUAAUGCUAUUAAUACAUUUUAAUUAAUUUAAUUUAAUUAAAUGAAACCAGUAUAAUUACCAGUUGAGUAGAUAUUUCAUCCGAUUGGUAGUCUCUCUGCAUGGAGGUGUUGGUUAGAAAGUCAGUAAAUUCUAAGUGUUAGAGUUUUAGGAGUAGAGUGUUAGUCUCAGAUGUUGUCCGAGUUGGAGUCCCCAAACUUCCAAUUCCUCUCUCCUCUCCUUUGCAUAUGUCCUGCAUCUGCCUCCUAUUUUUCUAUCUUCCCUUUGUCUUAACUUUUAAAGGGCCAGACUCUCUGUACGUCAUCAGUUGAUAACCCAAUAGAAGCACUAGAGGUGUGGUUAUCUUCCAGAUCGCAAAUUAGUUAUUUGGUCUGUAGAGGGCAGUCUUGUCCCACUAAACAUACCUAUCCAGGAAAGAGUUAACUUUUCCUGGUGGCUAUUUUGACGUCAUUUUGCGUUAUCUUUAUAGCGCCAUAAUUCAAAAUUUCAAAGGAUUUCUUAAAUUUUGUCCAGACUUAGCGUCUGCAAUUCCUGCCAUAAUUUCUGAUAUGACAGAUCAUGAACUAAGUUUACCCUUUUCCAUACAAUGGUACCUUAUAUAUAUAGACAGUUAAAUAUUAAAUUUAAUCUUCUCUGUCACAAUUGUCUGGGUUUAGAUUUGAUUAUAUUCCAUUAGCAUUAGACAGUCUGUCCAACCCCCUUCCUUAUCACUUGGCUUGUAUAUACUAUGCAUUCCUUAGCUCUGGCAAAGAGGCCAGUCUUACAGAAAGAAAUCUAGUGUCUUCUUUGUUUUUGUUAACUUGGAAUAACAAAAUGGAGUCUGGUCUGUUCAGAGUGACUCAGAAUAUACACUUUUAGUUUCUAUCAUAGCACAAAAUGUCUGCCGAUAUAAAUACUCUGACAUAACCCCCCUUUAGUGCAUUUCAUAGCCAAAAUUAAUUUAGCUUAUGAAUAAGCACUAUAGAAGUUACCAGACAUAUUGUGCAAUCACAUCAUUUCUAACAUAGGCCCGUGCGUGGAAUGAACAUUUUUGUAUAUAUUUGUACCUGUAAAAGUUUUGAACUUUACACUUAGUACAAUCAACCAUAAUAUCAUUAUUAACAUAGUACAUUGUUUUCAUUUGAAAAAUGUCUUUGGGAGUUACAUAUGGUAUGGUCAAUAAAAAGCAAAUCUCCAUACGUUCCGGAUCAAUUAAGAGAGGUAUAGCGCUCCCCAUCUCAAAGGCCAGAUUUAAUUGCAUAGGCUCAAUUGUCUCUCCAUCCACAUUGGCAAGCAUCACAUGAACAAUAUCCUUGGAUACAAAGUACAGAGGUAUGCGUCCCCCUGCCAAUUCGAUCAUUCCAGUUUGCACUUCAUCAAGAAAAGCAAGUGUGUGGAACAAUAUUGGGUCAUGCAGAAAUAGAAGUUCACGCUUAAAUAAGUCAUGACUUUGGUGCAACUCAGUGGAUUUGGCAAUUAACUCUGAAUGCAAAUUUGUUGUAACAACUGUGUCUUCCACAAUAGUUAACACAUCUUGGAGAAGUGUUCUUUGCUGGUUUAUCACCUGAUGAAUAUCGUUAAUGUGUUGCUUUAGCGCAUAGAUUUCCAUAUCCAGCUUUUGGACAGUAAUAGAGUUGGCUGCAGACAUUCCAGUUGCGACAACUGCACCGACAGUGGCACAAACUAAUGCAACAAUUAUAGCGGUGAGGAACCUUUUGGGUCGGUUGCUCAUCGGAAUAGAACUGGAUACAAAUGGUUUCCGGGCUUGCUCCAAGAUGUUUCGCACACGGUCCUGUGCUCUUUGGAGGUGCAUCUGGUACCAAGUCUGUAACUCAGGAAGCUGCAUCGAUGAAAUGUUGUAUGCCUUCUCGAUGGAAAUCUUGGGGUCCAAGCUGACGAACACACGUCGGGUCAGGAUCCUCUUCUCUGUCAAGAUGAACCCUGGUGUCUCUUGAAUCAGGAUGCCGGAGGAUGGUCCCAUCUCUGCGAUCGGGUCGGUCCGUAGCUCUUGGCACAGGAGCAGUACGAUCCAGAAACACGCCACAUCCUUCUUGGACAUCUUUCGACAGUCACGGAUCAGGAACUCGUUUCAGACUUAUCUACUAAUGAUUCAAGGUUUGUUAAGCAUACAAACUUAUAACAGUGUGACAUCACUUGGCCUAGGUCAACACAUUUUUACGAUUCAUCACAUAUGUAUUCUGUCUAAUUCCAUUUUUAUAACUUCAUCUCUCACUACAUUUAUUACUGACUCUUCAGCAAUUUGCCUAUAGCAGUUAAACAAGCUAGUAACCUGCUUAUAAAAUGUAGUUAUUGGAUGGCAAGGAAAUGGUUAAUGACAUGAACGUACAUGAGAUCAUGGCACAUCACAACAAUUCACAUCAUACGAUACCACGUGAAUCAAGCAUUCAUCCAGGUUAGUCGUUCACCCUUCUGCAUCUGAAUCCACACCUAUAAUCCUUAAUUGAGAUUUAGGAUGACACGCACGCAACUGGUUAAUGUGAACCCACUUUUCAAUAAAAUCACCAUCCUUAGGAAAUUUUAUCUUAUACGCUACAGGGGAAAUUUUGUCAAUGAUGACAUAUGGCCCUUUCCAAGAAGGUAAAAAUUUAUUUUCCUUAACUUGAUUUCGCGCAAAGUUAUACAGAUAGACUUGAUCUGUGAUCUCAUAUUCCUUUUUCGUGGUUUUUAGAUCGUAAUAGGUCUUAACCCCUGUCGCUGCUUUUUCUAGAUUCUUUUGGGCAAAAGCAAAUGCAUGCUGUAAAUGCUUGCGCAAAUCUUCGAUAUACUGAUGCGUAGUGGCAGCAUUGAUCAAGUUAUGAUCCGAAGUACGAUAUAGUAAAUGCUGUGGUAAAACCAUCUUUCUUCCUGUCAUCAAUUCAAAAGGUGACAAUUUGGUAGCAGUGCUAGGUGUAGCUCUAAUCGCCAUUAAAACUAGGGGCAAUUUAAUGUCCCAGUCUUUACCAGACUCCUUAACAUAUUUCUUCAGAAUAUUAACGAUAGACUGGUUAUAUCGCUCUACCCCCCCGCUAGACGCAGCGCGGUAUGCAAUAUGUAGCUUUCAUUUAACACCUAGAAUGUUCCACAUCUUAGCCAUUACUUCGCUGGUAAAGUGACUACCUCUGUCUGACUCAAUUCUUUGAGGCAGACCGAACCUGGAAAAGACAUGGUUAAUCAACAAAGUGGCGCACACGGUACUCGUGUUCUCUUUACAAGGCAAACAUUCUAUCCACUUUGUGUACAUACAUGUAAUGGUUAACAUGUAUUUGUUACCUCUUGAAGAUCUUGUUACAGGACCUAUAAAGUCAAUUUGAAUAUCAGACCAGGGUAAUGACACCCCCCUCUUCUGAAGUGGUGCACGAUGGGUUGGACCAUGGGGUUGAUAUUGCGGACAAAUCAAGCAUCCCUGACAGUAUGUCUUAACAUCCCUUAACAUGUGUGGCCAAUAUGCAUAAUCACGCAAUAUCUCAUAUGUGAUCUUAUCACCACGAUGCCCAGAUGUAGGUGCAUCAUGUGCGUGUUGGAGCAUUAACCCUCUGUAUACAGUUGGGACUACCCAUUGUUGUAUACCAUGUUUAGAAGUUCUGACCAGUAACCCAUCCAUGAUACUAAAUUGGACUUUAUAUCUCAUCAAGAUUCGUAAAUCUUCAUUAUCUUUGCAAUCCACAUCUGUGAUGGGAUUGGCAGUAGGGUCUUCUAUAUGUUUAUAGAAUAUACCUAUGACGGGAUCGUUCUUUUGACUAGUAAUCAGGUCCUCACUAGGAGCUUCUUGACUCCAUUGCACGACAUUUAAGUCGGCAUUAUCUCUAGCCUGUCGUCUAGUUAUGGCUUCAACAUGAAUUGAACCCAUAAGAUCAUCAAUGUUUAGGGUUUCACCAUUGAUGGCAGCUUGUUUUGCCAGUGAAUCGGCUAAGUCAUUACCAUCCUUGUCAAUACCUUCUAUUUUAGAAUGGCCUUUGGUUUUCUUCCAAUAUAUGGAUAAACCAUUUUCCUUAACCAGUUCAUCGAUUUUACAAAACAAUUUCCCAUGUUUAACAGGUUUGUUAUUGCUUUUCAGCAUUUGGUUACGUUUCCAGCUAGGCAGAUAUUCGACGAAACUGUUGCGAACAUAGUUAGAAUCAGUUAUAAUAACAAAUUCUUUGAUACCAUAUUCUAUUGCCAUUUGAAUGGUCUUAUAUACUGCACAGAGUUCGGCUAUCUGACUGCUUUUGGGACCAAUAUUGUAUCCUAUAGAUACAUUAGGAUAAUCACCUAUCCAGGCGAUUCCGAUACCUGCAGCUAACUUCCGUUCAGUACCAACGACGUGGUGAUAUGAACAACCAUCAAUGUAUACCCACGGUAGUGGUUGACAGUAUUCCUCGUCAUAAACUUUAUAAGGAGAUAGCAAUUGCUCUUCUAGGAAGUCAUCUCCGGUGUCAUUAUCAUCCAGAGAUGGAGCAGUACAAUCAUGUAAUUCUGCUAAACCUUGGGCAACUGGGCUUCUCUUAUUAUGUUUAUAACGGACUUCUAACGGCCAUCCCUGUAAGGAUAGAGUCCAUGCAGUAAUCCGACUGUUAGAGAGAUUACCGUCUCUAAUUCUUUCACUCUGCAGAUACUGUAGAGGUUGGUGAGCUGUUUCUACAAUUAUUUUCUCACCUUGGAUAUAGCUACGAAAAUUUUGUAGUGCCCAGACAGUCGACAAUAACGCCUUCUCACACGUGUUGAAUUUAACUUCAACAGGUGACAAAGUCUUGCUAGCAUAUGCAAUAACUUUGUUUAAACUGUCCUGCUUCUGAUACAGAACAGCACUUAUGCUUAAAUCGGUAUAUCCUGUCUCCAGAUAGAAGGGUUUACCCCCCUCUGGGUAUGCUAAACAGGGUGCCUGAGUGAGCUUCCUCCUCAGUUCACUUACCGCUUGGUCCUGAGGCUCCCCCCAGUUCCAGGUAGUUUCCUUUUUAAGCAGGUGUAAGAGUGGUUUAGUUAUUUCUGCAUAGUUAUCUAUAAACUUACGGGAGUAGUUAGUCAUACCAAGGAACGAUCUUAAUUCCCUGAUGUUUGAAGGUGUUUUAGCCUUUAGUACGGCUUCAACCUUCUUCCUCUGGGGAUUUAAUCCUUCAGAAGUUACCUCAUGUCCGAGGAAAUUGACAUGGGUGCGACACCAUUGUGCCUUUUGUAAAGACAGUUUAAUUCCUGCUUCUCUUAACUGAGUGAGAACAUGUCUAAUCUCCAAGAUAUGCUUAUCAAAGGAAGUGCUUUUCAGCAAGACAUCGUCGACAUAUGAUAACGUUCCUCUCUCGAGUGCGUCAGGCAUAGCUUUAUGCAUGAACACAGCAAAUUCAUGACCAGAGUUUAUGUAACCGAAAGGCAUACGGGUCCAGGUAUACUGCUGCUUUCCAAAUGUGAAGGCCAAUUUGUGAAGGCCAAUUUGUAUUGGUCUUCAUUAUGGACUGGUACAGUCCAAUAUCCCUGCGCACAGUCAAUGGCAGUGAAUAUUUUGGAUCCCUGCAUUUGUACCAAACAUUGGGCUAUGUAUGGCGUUGGCCAACCAGACAUAUAGACGCGUUUAUUUAGCUGUCGUAAGUCAGCGCAUAAACGCCAUUGUCCAUUAGGUUUCAGAAUCCCCAAGAUUGGAUUAUUAUACGAACUGUGCACUGGACGUAUAAUGCCCCUUUCCUUUAAAUUCCGAAUGAUGUCUUGUAGACCAUCAUAUGACGCUAAUGGGAGUCUAUAUUGUUUGAUGAAUACAGGUGGUAAAUUUGGAUCAGUUUGUAUUCUGGCUACGUGGAGGUUAGUUAACCCACAGUCGUAGGAAUCUUUGGCAAAAAUAUCUUGGAAUUCCAAAAGGAUUUCCUUUAGCUGUUGCCGCUCAGCAUCGUUGGAGCAACCGUCAGCUAAAGAUAUUUGCUCUUCUAGCCUUUCCUGAAAUCCUGGAAAGAUUUCAGGCUGGCCUAUCUCGUAAGCUUCUUCAAGCCUAGAAGUUAGGUCAGUUCGGUGUUGACUUACCUUUUCUCUUUGGUCGUGAUACUCUUGUGAUUCCUGCUCAUUGAGCGGAUGAUCGAAGGUGAUAGAUGCUUCUUCGAUUUUACACGAGCCUUCAACAUUGAAGGGAUACACAGAUAGGAUAGUGAAUAAUCCUUCUGGGGAGGAAUGGAAUAUUUGAUCGACCAUUUCGUCCUCAGUUAAGUAUUCUUCAGGGAUGAGGCCUAUAAUUUUGUUUUGGAAACCAAAUGUAUAGUACUCAGCAUCCAAUGCUAGACCUAGUAAUGUUCCUUUUGGUAAAGUAACACUAUUGGGUGUAACAUUGUUGACCAUGAUAUAGGUGGGAUUCUUACCAAUACUUACCAUUGGUGUAUGUGUUACCAGCAUCCCUAAUUGUUGUAUCCUAUUGGAUAAACAGAUUAGGGCAUCACAGUUUUCUAAUCUCUGACCCUUCUUGACCUGUAGGGGUAAAAGAAAAUUACUUGUCCCCUGUGGAAUGGUUAUGUCAUCAGGAACUUGGAUGCUUACCGCAUAUGGGAGUAUUUGUCCUGAUUUCAGGGUGUUUUCCUCGUGUAGGUAACCACAAGGAUUACCUGUUAACCUUGUCCACAAGUUGGAAUUAAUCAGGUCAAGGUGUAUGGCAAAGCGAUGUAUGACAUCAUUGCCAACGUAAACCUGAUAGCGGGGUUCGUCUAUCACUAGGAAUAAAUGUUUAACGGUCUUAUUUCCGAUGGAAAUAGAUAGUAAACAUUUUGCUAUCACAUUGUGACUCUCUGAUUCGCCAUCCAGAUCCUGGAUCCACCUGUCAUGUGGGGAAGCGUACCUGAUCAUUUUAGGAUUAGCGAUCUGCUUUAACAGACUUCUGCUAAUAUAGCUGUUCUCACUCUGUAAGUCCAGCUUUGCAUUCCUACUUCUUCCUAAGUCAUUUAUUUGCAUAGGAAAGAAUAAGUUGUUAUUAACCCUUUCAAUUCUGGCAAGGAAUUGAGCAUGACCUGCCAGAUCUACAGAUUCAACAUAGUCCCUGUGGAGAGAAAUGGUUAAAACAUCACCUUCCAGAGAGACAUUCUGGAUCCUCUCUGGAGCAAUUCUUACGGAAUGCUCAUCUACAGGUGCGAUUGCAUCAUUCACCUGCAGGAUAGUCACGUCAGGUGACUGACUAUUUCUAAAAUGUACCUCAAUCGAGUCAGGUCUUUCUUCUAUCACAUGGCAGUUACGAUCAGAUUGUACAUGUGAUUUCUCAUAGGUUAUGGGAACCUUAGCUUGUGACCAUACAAUUCCAUUUACACAGUCAAUAAUUGUGUUAAGUCUUCUGAGUAUGUCUAUACCCAGAAUCAGUCGGUCAUAGGGGAGAUCUACCACUAUCACCGGGUGUCUAAAGGUUUUGUUACCUAUUUUAAACUUUAACCAGGUAUUGCCAAUAACAUGAAGGGCAUUUCCUCCUACACUCAACAGAGCAUUGGGGAAAUCUCUUAGCUUCGGCUUAUCCGUUGCUAAGUCCAUUACCUGCUGGAAGUAGGUAUUGGAUAAGAUAGUGGCUUGUGAACCAGUAUCUAUUAACCCUUUAAAAGGCUGGGGUAGCGAAUCCUGUAUUUCUACAGACAUGUAGUACCUUCCUUCAUGUUCUUCUAAUUCACAUAAGAAUUUAGAAUGUGUCAACAUAUUACUUGUUUUCCAUACAUUACCGGUCACAGCAGUAGUUUCUACCUGUACUGAGGAAUGCUCAGUCUUACCCACAGGCCCAUCCUUUUUAGGAAUAUCUUGAACUGUCAAGCGGGGACUAGUGGUCGGCAUCUCAUCAGUUAACCCUUUCAAUUCUGGUUCCUGGAAACUAGUGGCUGCUGGGGCUACUUUAGCCUUUUGCUGAAAUGAAAAAACAGUGGAACACGUUGCGCCUCCUUCACCCGGAAGUGAAGUGACGGGAUAGGCAAUAGGUUUUCUAACACAACUAUUAUUUGUUUGACUGUUAGUACCUGGAAAGGAAACAGGGUUAGGUAUUACAUCUACUGAUAACCUAGCCUGUUUAGUCACAGUGGCUAUUAUUGCUGCGGCACCUGUUGUUGUUGCUGCGGUUGCACAGGUAGUUCUGCAAUUGGAGCUAUCCCUAAAAAAGGAUUUCUGGCAAAGACUUCGUUAAUCUUUGUCAUUCCCUCCAUUAAUUUGCCCAUCUGGUCAGUCAAUUGACCAACCUGACGACGCAAAUUAUUUCCCCCAUUGCCGUUUUGUCUUUGCCCAUUAGAAUUUGGCUGGGAUGGCUGAGACUGUUGGGAGUUAUUGGAAGCAGAUUGAUUGUUUCUGUUUCCAUAUCUCCUAUUUCCCUGAGGAUUCCUUCUCCAUUGGGAAUUGCCUUGGUUUUUAUUAACCCAGGGGCGUUUAUUCCCAUUGGCAUUGGAUUUUCAGAGUUAUUAGAGGAAUUUGCAGAAUUGCUUCCGCAUUUUCCUGUUUCUGAGGUUUUGGAGUUUUCAAAACCUCGGAAUAGGUCCUCUUUUUCUGUUGGGUUUCUAAACCUAACUGAAUUUUAGUCUCUGACACCAUUUUAUCACCAGGUUUCUUAACCUUUGGCUGAUUUUCGUCAUGUGCAUGGUGUAUAGUAUACAAUUUCAUGCACUGACUGACUAGCCAUUCUAAUGGUAACUUACAAUCGUAAUCUCUUGCGAGAUUCAUUUGUAUGUUUACUGGCAUGGCAUGAAAAUACAGAUCUUUGAAGUCUGUGCUUUCAUACCUGGGUUUCCUUUGGGCCACGGAGUAUGCAUUUUUAAGAAUUAUUAAAAAUUCUCUGGGGCUUUGAUCUGGACGGCACUUUAAGUUAUAAAGCGCCUUCUUUGCAGAGGCAAUGGUUUUAUACUUACCAUAUUCCAUGAUUAUUUCAUAUUUCAUCUUGGACCAGGACAUUAACUGUAUAGCUUGAAGACUUUCUAGAUAAACACGGCACAUUGAAUCAAAGGUCCAUGUAAUGAACCAUUUCUUAUGAAUGUCAUCAUACAUACCCAAUGAAUUCAUUGCUCUAUCAUAAUUUUCCAGAUGUUCAGAUAUGUUUCCUGAACCUCUAGAAAAUUGUGGGACAGUCUCUCUAAGGAAUUUGAUGACCUUUGGUGUUUCAUAAACAGGCGUCGUUGAUUUACGAUCUCUGUUUCUGUGUUUGGGUAAACGUCUAUGCGAUCUGUCUGCUGAAGAGGAAUUAGACCCGUACAACAGUGCAGAUGGCAUAUCAGUUACAUGGCCUUCAGAGUGGACAGUGCAAUCAAUUUCACUCCCAUCACUCUGAGCUUCUUGUUCACUGUCACAAUUCUGAUCUGCAUCAGAGUUCUGCCAGUGUACAGAACCAUGUCUGUUUUCAUUCCUAUCAUCUUGAAUUGGACUCUCCCUCUCAAGUUUGGCCAAGACAGCUUUUUCAAACUGUUCUGCCCAAGAUUGCCAAGAUGGCUUGGUAAUGUCAUGAGAUGGGGAAUCUUGUUCCACAGGUGAUUUUUUAGAAUUACUCACAUCUUUACUUACAGACUGUUUUAUGAAAACCUGGUUUGGUGUGGGAAAAUCAUAAUAAGGAGGGGAUUUACAGAUAGUCUUUUCUUGCAUUUUUGUGCAACUUUUUGGCACAGAAUGAUGACUACCAACCUCACUGUCUAAUUUCUGACUCUCCUUUUCAUACUCAUCCAAUUGCAUUUUAAGCUGAUUUAUUUCCUGUGCAUAUUUAUCCAUCAAAGCUUUCAUUUCUUUUUCAUGAUCAGCCUGACGAGUUUUAUGCUCAGCAAGUAAAUCUUGGUAUUUCCCAUUUUGAAUGCCCAAAUCGUCACUGUACGUGUCCAAUUUGGCAUUCAAUGACUUGUUUUCAUCACACACCUUAAGAAGUGCUGUCAUAAAGAAAGGCCAAGAGUGUAUUAUGAACGCCAUUUUCCUUUCUAUGUUCUUUUGUUCAGCAAUUUCUUUAAGAUAUAUGAUGAUGUGUUCAUCAGUUAGAAUGGUGUGUUUAGCUUCCCAUUCUAUGCUUUUCAACCAAACCUCAUAGGUUGCAUCAUUUUUCAUAUGUUUAUGAAUAUGAACUAGAGCAUGUUUUCUUAGGUCUUCAAUUAUUUCAGUAUUAUCUGUUACAGAUUUAUCACUGCCACUGGCCAUUUUUAUUUUUAUUUUAUUGAUUAAUCUCAAUACAAAACUCUUUUCUAUAUUAAGAUUAAAUUGCAUGAAUUACACCAAUAUUAUUAUUAUAUAUGAAAUACAAUUUCAACUUAAACGAUCUCAGCACCGUGCCUUCAAUAUGUGGCGAUAUUUAUGGGAUAAUAAUAGUAACAGUGAGAAUUGCCCACUAAUUCAAUUCUCAGAUCCCAAAGAACGUUUAUCGUGUUAAGUGGAAUGUAUUUCAUAUAAUUGAUAUCACAAUGUAUAAAAAUAGAUUUUAUUUAUGAUAACCAAUAAUUAACAAAUAAUAUUAUGUAACAUGCAUGACAAUAAUCAAUGAAUAUUCAGUAUAAAAUGGUAUGCAAUACAAAGAAAUGGGUAUUACGUUUCAAUGGCUAACUAGCAUUUUCUGUCAAGAAUUCUGACGAUUUAUGAGGUAUCCUUACACAGAUUGAAAGUGAAACUUUUCACACAGAGAACAGAAUUCCUCAGAGUGCAGCGUAAGGUCGUAAAGUUUAGCCGACAGUUAGAAUAACCCUUUCAAUGCUGGCUAGAUCUCCUAGGUAGUUAAGAUCUAUUCUGAUGUCAUUUUAAAUAAAAUAACAUUUAAUCCAGUUUAAAUUCAUUUUCUUAAACCAUCCAAUAAGAGAAUCUAACAUUAUAUAAGCAGAUUUUUAAUUUGUCUAAAAGAUAUCUAUCUUAAUUUAGAGCAAAUCAAUACACCUGGAUAAAAACAGCGGUAUGCUAACACGUGAUAAUAUCACAUCAAUAUAUAAUUAUUCUUAAUUCCACCUGCAGAAUGGAAUGUUUAUAACUAUAUAUUCUUAGUUAACUAAGAUUUCUUAAUAUGGAAAUCUGACCGUGCUUUAUCCAGUCAUAUAUAAUGCUAUUAAUACAUUUUAAUUAAUUUAAUUUAAUUAAAUGAAACCAGUAUAAUUACCAGUUGAGUAGAUAUUUCAUCCGAUUGGUAGUCUCUCUGCAUGGAGGUGUUGGUUAGAAAGUCAGUAAAUUCUAAGUGUUAGAGUUUUAGGAGUAGAGUGUUAGUCUCAGAUGUUGUCCGAGUUGGAGUCCCCAAACUUCCAAUUCCUCUCUCCUCUCCUUUGCAUAUCUUGCAUCUGCCUCCUCGUCUAUCUUCCCUUUGUCUUAACUUUUAAAGGGCCAGACUCUCUGUACGUCAUCAGUUGAUAACCCAAUAGAAGCACUAGAGGUGUGGUUAUCUUCCAGAUCGCAAAUUAGUUAUUUGGUCUGUAGAGGGCAGUCUUGUCCCACUAAACAUACCUAUCCAGGAAAGAGUUAACUUUUCCUGGUGGCUAUUUUGACGUCAUUUUGCGUUAUCUUUAUAGCGCCAUAAUUCAAAAUUUCAAAAGGAUUUCUUAAAUUUUGUCCAGACUUAGCGUCUGCAAUUCCUGCCAUAAUUUCUGAUAUGACAGAUCAUGAACUAAGUUUACCCUUUUCCAUACAAUGGUACCAUAUAUAUAGACAGUUAAAUAUUAAAUUUAAUCUUCUCUGUCACAAUUGUCUGGGUUUAGAUUUGAUUAUAUUCCAUUAGCAUUAGACAGUCUGUCCAACCCCCUUCCUUAUCACUUGGUUUGUAUAUACUAUGCAUUCCUUAGCUCUGGCAAAGAGGCCAGUCUUACAGAAAGAAAUCCUGUGUCUCUUUGUUUUUGUUAACUUGGAAUAACAAAAUGGAGUCUGGUCUGUUCAGAGUGACUCAGAAUAUACACUUUUAGUUUCUAUCAUAGCACAAAAUGUCUGCCGAUAUAAAUACUCUGACAAGAGGUACCCCUACGUUUAGGGGUACAUCCAGAAAUGGGGGGAAUUGGUGUGCUGGAUAAGGGGAUUAUGAUGCUGGCUGAGGGGAGGAGAUGUGUGGGAGGUUACCAGGACAGUAUUGGCUACUGUAAUAAUUACUGUAAAUCCCUCCCUUGCAUGGGAGCAUGCUUUAUAAGGAGACUGUGAUUAAAGGCUUGUCAGUUAUGCUCCUGAAACUGUGUGUCGUCCAGUUAUUGGGAUUGCUGUUGGGAUAUUGCUGUAUUUUACCUGCUGGUAGCCUUGCCUGUGGAUCUACUAUUUACUUGUUCCUGAGUCCCACUUGGAUUAUAAGCGGAGAUAACCUGGGUAAUAUUGCAUCUCCGCUACACAUACGCCACCGAGGGAGGCCAAUCUUGGAAAACGCAUCCAUCACCUCGCUGAGCGUCUGGAAACCAACUGAAGAACCACUCUGUUUGACGGUUCGCACAGGAUGCAAUCAGUCCAGUACUCGAGACUCUGGAGGGUGAUGUAACCAAUCGUUGGCAUCUCUCCAGUGUCGGGAUAACCGGUCCGCUACAUGAUUGUCUUGUCCCGCAGAUGGUCUGCCACAAGUGACGAAUACUUGUCCACACAGUAUUGAUAGAGAUCCUUCGUGAGAGCCGACUGCAGUCCAAAGCGGACAACAGGGAAGUCGUUAAUGCCGGGAGGCAGCGAGCAGUAAUUCUUCCCCUGGGGGAGCUGCAAAUGGCGAACGAACCUGCAGGUAGUUCCAUACAGUUGAUGUGAAUAGCUCUCUCCGGUCGUAACACCCCAGUCCGUACAGCCAACACGUGGGUUGCGGACCAUGUGUCUGAUAUCCUGGUGCGGCCAGCUGGGGUCACCCAGCAUGCAAGAGGGGGUUACCCAACAAGCACAAGCAUACCAUGCAGUAUGCAGGGGAGGGGGUUACCCUCAGCAUGAACAUAGCAGGACACUGUAGGUACAACAGUGCCGUAGGCAGUAGGGGUCAGCCGUAUUAUGCAUUUAACAAGACACUGCAGAUCCAGCAGUGCAGACAGCAGGAGGGGGUCACCAUCAUAUAAUCAUAACCGGACAUUGCAGGUCCAACAGUGCAGUAGGUAAGAGGGGGUCACCCUCAGUAUGAGUAUCAUAGGACACUGUAAGUACAGCAGUGCAAUUAGCGGGAGGGGGUCACCCUCAUUAUGGACAUAACAGGACACUGCAGGUCCAGCAGAGUAGUCCGCAGGAGGGGGGUCACCCUCAGCAUAAACAGAGCAGGACAUUGUAAGAACAGCAGCACAAUCAGUGGGAGGGGUACCCUCCUUAUGAACAUAACAGGACUCUGCAGGUCCAGCAGUACAGACUGCAGGAUGGGGUCACCCUCAGUAAUGAUAGGGCUGUAUGAGGAGCCACACUGAGGAAGAGUGUGGGCGACAGAGCCCAGUAGGGAAAGCCAGGAUGGUGGAACAGGGUAUAGCAAAUCAAAACCCCAUAACAGGGAGCAGGGUGCCCAUUCCACAGACAGCCCAGCAAAGUAACACAGCAAUAAACAGCAUAAAGUGACACAGCAAAUAAACAGUAUAAAGUAGUACAGCAAUAAAUAGCCUAAAGUAACACAGCAAUAAGCAGUAUAAAGUAGUACAGCAAUAAAUAGCCUAAAGUAACACAGCAAAUAAGUACCACGUAGGAGAAAAACAACCCAGAGCAGAGACAUCUCUGAGUUGGUGAGUGCUCACCUGGAGGCAGCAGAAAGAAAGAGGAAGUGGGAGGGUCUGCCUAAGUGGUUUUAUACUGCUGUUAUUUUGUUCUGGUUGGUUGUUUUGAAAAGUUUUGUUAACUAUUUCUUUGCUGCUGGAGGUUUCAGUAAAGAAGAUAAAGCAAAUAUGAAGCCUCCUGUCUUGCCAUAAAAUUGUAAAUACAUUAAUUAAUAAUCAUAUUAUCAAAUAUAUCUUCAAAUAUCAAAAAUAAAAUGUCUGGAAUCCCCCACAAUAUUAUGGAAUUCUAUGAAGUUCUACCUAGUCAGAUAUCAAUGGGACAGACCAUAACAUUUGUUAAACAGAUCUAAGUGAUAGAAAGCAGAUUGAUAUUUUCUACACUAGAAACUACCAGAUAACAAGCUGCUGUAUUUAAACCAAUUAUCAAUAGCUAAGAGGUACUUAAAAAAUAUUGUAAUUCUGGGGCAAUACCCUCACAAGUCAAACUGAGAGGUCAGUUUAUAGGGAAAACUGUUGCCUGGAUACAAUUCUAAAACAAUUUCCAUAUGUCCUUUGCAGACUUUACAUGCUGGAAAAACACAGGUGCCAACUGCUGUGGCUUUCUGCAGUGUGCAGACCGGCAAGGAGGGCAGGGUUGAGGAGUGGGUGGAAGAUGAUGUGGAGGAUGAUGAGGUCCUAGACCCCANNNNNNNNNNNNNNNNNNNNNNNNNNNNNNNNNNNNNNNNNNNNNNNNNNNNNNNNNNNNNNNNNNNNNNNNNNNNNNNNNNNNNNNNNNNNNNNNNNNNCAUGGAAUGAAGGUCAUGCAAGUGACGUGUGCAGUUUAGAGGAAGAGGCGGUGGUCGCACAGCGGCACCAGCACCGCAAAAGAGGGAGCAGGGUGCAAAAGCGGAGCGACCGUCCCCUAGCGCUCGUCAUGUAUUAGCUUUAGAAUUACCACAGUUAUCCAAGUAACAGAUGGAGCGAUCAAAGGAACCAUAACUGAUUUAAUGAGCCAUUCGCAGUUUCACUGUCAGGGCAACGGUCCGGUGACCGGGACCCAGACACUGUCUGGGCGGUGGUCGGACGACCCGAACCCAGUAUGCCUGUUGUUGAAGUUAGGAGUCACAGUGUGGAAUGGAUUAGCAUAGUCUGGUGCAGGGUAACCCCACGCCCCCUGGUGUUGAGCACCAGCGUUUGUGUGGCCACUGUCAGGAUACUGACAGGGAUCCAAUACGCAGAGUGCGGACAGAAGGAGGUACGUAUACCGGACCUUAGAAUGGCCGGACUAACGUAGGGACAAAACAAGAAUAGUCAAAAGGUAAGCCGAGGUCGAGGGAGCCGGAGGACAGGUAAGCGAGAUACAAGCCGAGUCAAAGGAGAGGAGAGGACAACAGGACAAAAGACAAGCAAGGGUCAAAACCGGAAACACAAGAUAAAGAACGCGCUGAGUGACUAGCAAGCUAGAACCACGACAGGGCAAUGAGCAGUAGUAAAGGUUUCCUUUAAAUACCCUGUUACCUAAAUAGAGACCACGCCCCCAAAAGGUCCGGAAUAGCGGUUCCCGGCACUUCAUGUAAAUGCCGACGUCAUGACGUCGACGCUAGCCGUCGCGUCAUAAAAGGGGGAGGAGCUAGCGCGGCCGGCGCGAAAACGGCCGGAAUAUGCCGAAAAGCUAGGGGCAGGGAGCCCCUAAGCAGAGAGGAUGUCUUCCCUGGAUUCAGCACCAACAGGUACCCUGACAGUACCCCCCCUUCUAGAAACGCCCACCGGGCGGAUGGGACUGGGCUUAGAAGGAAAACGAAUGUGGAAGGCCCGAAGAAGACGAGGAGCAUGCACGUCUGUACAAGGAACCCAAGACCUCUCUUCUGGACCAUAACCUUUCCAGUCUAUGAGGUAUUGCAGCUUCCCCCUAGAAAUACGAGAAUCAAGGAUGGACUUAAUGAUAUAUUCCUCCUGACCAUCCACACGGACCGAGGAUGGAGGAGCAGAGCGGGAGGAAAAUCUGUUACAAACAAGAGGUUUCAAUAAAGACACAUGAAAAGAGUUAGGAAUGCGUAGAGUAGGAGGCCAGUCCAGCAAAUAAGAAACCGGGUUGAUCCUCCUCAGCACCCUGUAAGGGCCAAUGUAACGAGGAGCAAACUUCAAGGAAGGGACUUUCAGGCGAAUGUGUCUGGUACACAACCAGACCCUAUCACCCGGAGAAAAAAUAGGAGCAGGCCGUCUACGCCUAUCAGCAUGUGACUUAAACACCGCGGAACUACGUGUCAAGAAUUUGUCGAGUCUGAUCCCACAACUUUCUCAGGUUGGCUAUAUGAAUAUCAACCGACGGUAUACCCUGGGAAGGAGACACCGACGGAAGAACAGUAGGGUUAAAGCCAUAGUUCAAGAAAAAGGGGCUAUUACGAGUGGAACCACAAACAAGGUUGUUGUGAGCAAACUCCGCCCAAGGAAUCAGACCGACCCAGUCAUCCUGGUGUUCAGAAACAAAACAACGUAGAUAUUGCUCAAUUUUUUGGUUAGUGCGUUCGGCUGCUCCGUUAGAUUGAGGAUGAUAGGCCGAAGAAAAAUUCAGUUUGAUGCCCAACUGGGAACAGAAGGAUCUCCAAAAAUGGGAAAUAAAUUGGGAACCCCUGUCCGACACAAUCUCAUUGGGAAUACCAUGUAAACGGAAAAUUUCUCUAGCAAAUAUCACGGCCAGUUCAGGAGAGGACGGAAGUUUAGGCAAGGGAAUGAAAUGAGCCAUUUUAGUAAACCUGUCAAGGACCGUGAGGAUAACCGUAUGCCUACUGGAAGCUGGUAGAUCAACAAUAAAAUCCAUAGCCAAACAAGCCCAAGGUUUGUUGGGAACGACUAAGGGCUGCAAUAAACCACAAGGGAGAUCCCGUGGAAGUUUAUUCCUGACACAAACAUUGCAAGCCUUGACAAAGUCUUCCACAUCCCUACGUAAACCAGGCCACCAGAAGUCUUUGGAGAUCAGGCAGUAAGUUUUGUGGAUGCCGGGGUGACCAGCGAACUUGCUAUCGUGAAAACAGCGAAUAAUGUCCACUUGGAAUUUGGGAGACACGAACAAGCGGCCCACAGGAGUACGUUCGGGAGCAAGAGAUUGUUCGUUCAUAAUAUCAGCGAGCAAUGGAGAGUGUAUUUUGACAUUGGUGUUGGCGAUAAUAUUGACUUCAGGAAUAAUAGGGAACAAAGUGUCCUCUGUAGAGGUGAUAGGUUCGUGCUGACGAGACAAAGCGUCUGCCUUAGUGUUCUUAGAACCAGGCCUGUAAGUAAGCAUAUAAUUAAAGUGUGUAAGGAACAUAGACCAACGUGCCUGCCUGGCAGAUAAUCUUUUGGCCUCCCCCAUAUACGAUACAUUUUUGUGGUCAGUCAAGAUAGUAACUGGGAGGACAGUGCCCUCUAACAAAUGUCUCCAUUCAUUUAAUGCCAUAAUGAUAGCUAAAAGUUCUCUAUCACCAAUGUCAUAUCUCCUUUCAGUGUGUGAUAGUUUCUUAGAAAAAAAAACGCAAGGGUGCAGCGGCUUAUCUAAACUUUGUCUUUGGGACAACACUGCGCCUAUCCCUGUUUCUGAUGCAUCAACUUCAAGUAAAAAGGGUAGAGAGGUAUCAGGAUGAACUAAUACAGGUGCUGAGGCAAAAGACUGUUUGAGCGUUUCGAAAGCAGAUAAAGCCUCAGUAGACCAGGUCUUUGGUAUCGGCUCCUUGUUUGGUCAUAUUAGUGAUAGGAGCGAUAACAGAGGAGUACCCUUUAAUAAAACGUCUGUAAUAAUUAGAAAAUCCAAGAAAUCUUUGUAUGGCUUUGAGUCCCUUAGGUAAAGGCCAAUCUAAAAUCGAUUUUAGUUUGGUCGGGUCCAUCAUAAACCCGUCUUUGGAAAUUACGUAACCUAAGAAAGUUACCUGAGACUGGUCAAAGCUACAUUUUUCCAAUUUACAAUACAAUCCAUGUUGUAAAAGUUUCUGUAAUACCUUUCUGACUUGUCUAUGAUGUGAAUUAAUGUCUCUAGAAUGGAUUAGUAUAUCAUCCAAAUAUACAAUUACACAUUCAUGUUGGAAUUCUCUAAGAACUUCAUUGAUCAAGUCUUGGAAGACGGCCGGGGCGUUACAAAGUCCAAACGGCAUUACGGUAUACUCAUAAUGCCCGUAACGGGUAUUAAAUGCUGUCAUCCAUUCAUCUCCUUGUUUAAUUCGCACCAAGUUAUAUGCUCCUCUCAAGUCAAGUUUGGUAAAAAUACUCGAGCCCUUUAGUCUGUCAAAGAGUUCAGUAAUCAAAGGAAUAGGGUAAGCAUUCCUGAUAGUAAUUUUGUUCAAUCCCCGAUAGUCUAUACAAGGACGUAAGGUACCGUCUUUCUUUUCUACAAAAAAGAAACCCGCCCCCGCCGGAGAAGAAGACUUUCUAAUAAAUCCUUUGUCUAAAUUCUCCUUGAUGUAUUCCUCUAAAACUAAGUUUUCCUUGGUGGAUAGAGGGUAUACCGUACCCCUGGGAGGCAUAGUACCAGGGAAAAGUUUAAUAGAACAGUCAUAAGACCGGUGGGGAGGUAAAGUAUCCGCCUUACCCUUGUCAAAUACAGAUUUGAGGUCUAGAUAUUGUAAUGGUAUCAGGACGUCUGUGGAUUGGGAAGAGUUAGCAUAAGAGUUUACGGGGCAAACAGAAGUAACUCUCUGCAGACAUUCUUUCCUACAGCCCAUACCCCAAGAAACAAUUUCUCCACCCUCCCAGUCAAUCUGAGGGUUGUGUCUCUUGAGCCAAGAAUAUCCUAGUACCACUGGAACUGCCGGGGAGGAAAUUAACAGAAGGGAAAUCAACUCCUCGUGGAAAAUACCAACAGUAAGCUUAACGGGUUUGGUCUCAUGGAAUAUUAUUGGUUCAGAUAAAGGUCUACCAUCUAUGGCCUCAACGGCCAAGGGUGUAUCUCUCAGUUGGAAUGGGAUACAAUGCUUAUUAGCGAAAGUUUGGUCUAUAAAGCUUUCUGCUGCUCCAGAAUCUAACAAUGCCAUCGUAGAAAUAAACCCAUUUUCCCAAGCUAGAGAGACAGGAAUCAGAAGCCUAUGGUCUUUUUUAUUAUGCAUAGAGGACAGUAACGAAACACCCAAAGGCCCGUCCUCUAAGGGAACUUAGGUGCGAGCGUUUCCCGGACGAUUAGGGCAACUAAGACGUAGGUGACCUCUCUGCCCGCAGUAUAAACAGAGACCCUCCCUUCUUCUGUACUGUCUCUCAGCCUCAGAUAAGCGAGUAUUACCUAUUUGCAUAGGUUCUGGUGGAGUAAGGUUAUGGGAGUCAGGGUUCUGAAAUGAGGGAGCGAGUCUUACAGGAAGUCUAGUAACUCUUUCCCGAGUGUUCUGCCUCUGUCUCAUGCGUUCAUCUAUUCUGGAAAUGAAUGAUACUAAAUCCUCUAAAUUUUCCGGAAGUUCUCUUGUGGCAAUCUCAUCUAGAAUUUCAUCAGACAACCCAUUCAAGAAUACAUCCAUAAAAGCUUGUUCGUUCCAUUUCACUUCUGCAGCCAAUGAUCUAAACUCUAGAGCAUAUUCUACAAGGGUCCUAUUCUGUUGUUUAAGGCGUAACAGGGAUCUGGACGCAUUAAUCUUCCUUCCUGGGGGGUCAAAGGUUCUUCUAAAAGCCGUGACAAAAGCAGUGUAGUUGUAGACUAAAGGAUUGUCAUUCUCCCAAAGGGGAUUGGCCCAUCUAAGUGCUUUAUCUAUUAGCAGAGUUAUAAUAAAGCCUACUUUAGCCCUGUCAGUAGGGUAAGCCCGGGGUUGAAGUUCGAAAUGUAUGCUUAUCUGGUUUAAAAAACCACGACAAGCAUCAGGCGAACCCCCAUAACGUAACGGUGAAGUGACAUGGGAAGAUGCGCCUACAGUGGCUACUUCCAAACCAGUACUUAGUGGGUGGCUAGCAGUGGAACGUAUUUCUUCGACUGGGUGCUGGAGCGUGUUAACAAAGUUUGUAAUGCUAAAGCCAUUUGGUCCAUUCUAUGGUCCAUGGCCUCAAAUCUGGGGUCAGGAGGACUAGCACCUGCAGGAUCCAUUUGGCCCUGUCGUAAUGUCAGGAUACUGACAGGGAUCCAAUACGCAGAGUGCGGACAGAAGGAGGUACGUAUACCGGACCUUAGAAUGGCCGGACUAACGUAGGGACAAAACAAGAAUAGUCAAAAGGUAAGCCGAGGUCGAGGGAGCCGGAGGACAGGUAAGCGAGAUACAAGCCGAGUCAAAGGAGAGGAGAGGACAACAGGACAAAAGACAAGCAAGGGUCAAAACCGGAAACACAAGAUAAAGAACGCGCUGAGUGACUAGCAAGCUAGAACCACGACAGGGCAAUGAGCAGUAGUAAAGGUUUCCUUUAAAUACCCUGUUACCUAAAUAGAGACCACACCCCCAAAAGGUCCGGAAUAGCGGUUCCCGGCACUUCAUGUAAAUGCCGACGUCAUGACUCGACGCUAGCCGUCGCGUCAUAAAAGGGGGAGGAGCUAGCGCGGCCGGCGCGAAAACGGCCGGAAUAUGCCGAAAAGCUAGGGGCAGGGAGCCCCUAAGCAGAGAGGAUGUCUUCCCUGGAUUCAGCACCAACAGGUACCCUGACAGCCACAUACCAGAAUCCUGAUGCAGCUUCAGCGGAUCCCAGGAACUAGGAGCUUGGAAAUAAGCAGACCUCCCAGAAGCUGAAUAGGGAGGCUCUGCAGCACGAAUGUAUCCAGUGCAGAAACAAGGCAAGACUAGAACAGACACCAAACAUGAAAACAAGACAGAACUAGGAGAACAAUAUUUUGGGGACUACCCCAAUUCAAAUAAAAAACAGUGUUGGCUACCGCCUCCUCCACCGUCGCUUCCACCUACACCGCUACAGUGUAUACCCAGAUAUAUCAGAGCUGCCGCAGAAAGUGCGGGCCGUCCAGAUCCGAAAUGCCAGCAAGUUCCCUCUGCACGAGAGACACUGCAACCCCAGAUGAUCGUUUCAGCCUUGUUAGGCAUCAUCAUAUAGGCAUAGCUGAUAUCUCCCUAGGCACCGUGAGCAAAGGGUCCACGUCUGGAUUAUCCCUUUAAACUUGUGGAGAGAAAAAAAUGGGUCGCAAGAGUAUACUGGGAACGUGCGACAACUGAAAUAGCCUGCCCUUCGGAUUGGCUACCUCCUCCAUCUCCUCUUCCACCUACACCGCCAUGGUCAUCGCCUCCUCAACCUCCUACUCCACAUCUACCUCCUCCUCCUCCUAGUUCAAGAUUAUUAUUUUUAGUUUUUAUGUAUUUUAUGUUAUUUUAAGUUAGCCCUCUAGCCCUUUCCAGGACUUUUUUAGAGCCAUUUUUUGUGCACAAAAGUUUGGGUCCCCAUUGACUUCAAUGGGGUUCGGGAGUGACGUUCGGGUCAAGUUCGGUCCUGAACUCAAACUUUUUGCCAAAGUUUGGCCGAACCCGCCGAACCCAAACAUCCAGGUGUCCGCUCAACUCUAGUGUCAAAGUGUUAUUGAGCAUAUUGUAACUGGGCUUUUUUGUGACAUUGGUGCAGUAGAGGCUUCUUUCUGGCAACUCCACAAUGCAGCUCAUUUUUGUACAAGUAUCGUCGUAUUGUGCUCCUUGAAACAAACACAUCAUCUUUUUCCAGAGCAACCUGUAUUUCUCCUGAGGUAACCUUAGGGUUUUUCUUUGUAUCCCAAACAAUUCUUCUGGCAGCUGUGGCUAAAAUCUUUCUUGGUCUACAUGACUUUAGCUUGGUAUCAAGAGAUCCACACAUUUUCUUGAUAAGUGAACAGUACUAACUGGCAUUUUCAAGGCUUUGGAUAUAUUUUUUACAUCUUUAUAAAGUCCCACCACCUUGUUACACAGGUCUUUUGACAGUUAUUUUUUGCUCCCCAUGGCUCAGUAUGUAGCCUGCUUAGUGCAUCCACGUGAGAGCUAACAAACUCAUUGACUAUUUAUAUACAGACACGAAUUGCAAUUUAAAAAGCCACAGGUGUGCGAAAUUAGCCUUUGAUUGCCAUUUUAACCUGUGUGGGUCACCUUGUGUGUCUGUAACAAGGACAAACAUUCAAAUGUAUGCAAACUUUUAAUCAGGGCCAUUUGGGUGAUUUCUGUUAUCAAUAUGAUUUAAAAAGGAGCCAAACAGAUAGGUCUCGGGCAUAGUCAAACCCGAAACACUGAUACCCCGCACUGGUACAAAUACAAUGACAGCUUGAAGAAGAUAAAAUCUCGAUGAAUCUGCAAUUGUAUAUAUGUAUAUCCAUCAUAAACAGACUUCCUUCUGGCACAAUACUUCAGCAGUCACUUGAACAUGCCUAAAUGGCGUGCUACUGGGUGCCAAUAAGUACAGUAAAAAUGAAAAUCCAGUGCACUCCCUUAUCUACUAGACAGCUACUUUGGUGCUGACAGAUUUUGCUAGUCUUAUUAAAAGCACCUAAUCUAGACAAAAAAAUAAUGGGGGUUUAGUUACAUUAUAUGAUCAUACAUUGCACAAGCCUGCCACAGAGUGAAUGUACCCCAUCUUUGGCAGGUCCUACUCUAACAGCCAACUGUCUACUAAAUGAGCUACUCACUUAGGGAAAUCCUUCCAUCUCGAGUUCUCUGCAGUACAAGGCUAAACAGGGUCCUGAGAUGAGACACCUGUGACAGGGAAUGGUGCAAAACCAAGGAGCUGGCUUGACUCCUAAAUAUAUAUAUAUAUAUAUAUAUAUAUAGAAAACAAGAAGGGGUUGGCUGCACUCACCUUAACAUGCAUAAAUGGGGGUGCUGCUGGGGGCCAAAUAAUACAAUACACAAGAUCCAGCGCACUCGCCUAUCCACUAAACAGCAACUUCAAUGUUGAAAGAUUUUAUUUGUUUUUUUAAAAACACCUAAUCUAGGCAAAAAUAAUGGGGGUUUAGUUACAUUAUAUGAUCAUACAUUGCAUAAGCCUGCCACAACGUCAAUGUACCCCAUCUUUGGCAGGUCCUACACUAACAGCCUAAUGUCUGCUCUUAUGAGAUUAACCUACUUGGGGAAAAAAUUCCAUCUGGGGCUCUCUGCAGUACAAGGCUAAAUAGGGCCCUGGGAUGAGGCACCUGUGACAGGGAGGGGUGCAAAACCAAGGAGUUGGCUAGACUCCCAAAUAUAUAUAAAACAAGAGGGGGUUGGCUGCACUCACCUUAACAUGCAUAAAUGGGGGUGCUGCUGGGGGCCAAAUAAUACAAUACACAAGAUCCAGCGCACUCACCUAUCCACUAAACAGCAACUUCAAUGUUGAAAGAUUUUAUUUGUUUUUUUAAAAACACCUAAUCUAGGCAAAAAUAAUGGGGUUUAGUUACAUUAUAUGAUCAUACAUUGCAUAAGCCUGCCACAACGUCAAUGUACCCCAUCUUUGGCAGGUCCUACACUAACAGCCUAAUGUCUGCUCUUAUGAGAUUAACCACUUACUUGAGGAAAAAAAUCCAUCUGGGGCUCUCUGCAGUACAAGGCUAAAUAGGGCCCUGGGAUGAGGCACCUGUGACAGGGAGGGGUGCAAAACCAAGGAGUUGGCUAGACUCCCAAAUAUAUAGAAAACAAGAAGGGGUUGGCUGCACUCACCUUAACAUGCAUAAAUGGGGGUGCUGCUGGGGGCCAAAUAAUACAAUACACAAGAUCCAGCGCACUCGCCUAUCCACUAAACAGCAACUUCAAUGUUGAAAGAUUUUAUUUGUUUUUUUUAAAACACCUAAUCUAGGCAAAAAUAAUGGGGGUUUAGUUACAUUAUAUGAUCAUACAUUGCAUAAGCCUGCCACAACGUCAAUGUACCCCAUCUUUGGCAGGUCCUACACUAACAGCCUAAUGUCUGCUCUUAUGAGAUUAACCUACUUGGGGAAAAAAAUUCCAUCUGGGGCUCUCUGCAGUACAAGGCUAAAUAGGGCCCUGGGAUGAGGCACCUGUGACAGGGAGGGGUGCAAAACCAAGGAGUUGGCUAGACUCCCAAAUAUAUACAUAAAACAAGAGGGGGUUGGCUGCACUCACCUUAACAUGCAUAAAUGGGGGUGCUGCUGGGGGCCAAAUAAUACAAUACACAAGAUCCAGCGCACUCACCUAUCCACUAAACAGCAACUUCAAUGUUGAAAGAUUUUAUUUGUUUUUUUAAAAACACCUAAUCUAGGCAAAAAUAAUGGGGGUUUAGUUACAUUAUAUGAUCAUACAUUGCAUAAGCCUGCCACAACGUCAAUGUACCCCAUCUUGGCAGGUCCUACACUANNNNNNNNNNNNNNNNNNNNNNNNNNNNNNNNNNNNNNNNNNNNNNNNNNNNNNNNNNNNNNNNNNNNNNNNNNNNNNNNNNNNNNNNNNNNNNNNNNNNGACCUGCCAAAGAUGGGGUACAUUGACGUUGUGGCAGGCUUAUGCAAUGUACGAUCAUAUAAUGUAACUAAACCCCCAUUAUUUUUGCCUAGAUUAGGUGUUUUUAAAAAAACAAAUAAAAUCUUUCAACAUUGAAGUUGCUGUUUAGUGGAUAGGCGAGUGCGCUGGAUCUUGUGUAUUGUAUUAUUUGGCCCCCAGCAGCACCCCCCAUUUAUGCAUGUUAAGGUGAGUGCAGCCAACCCCCUCUUGUUUUAUAUAUAUUUGGGAGUCUAGCCAACUCCUUGGUUUUGCACCCCUCCCUGUCACAGGUGCCUCAUCCCAGGGCCCUAUUUAGCCUUGUACUGCAGAGAGCCCCAGAUGGAAUUUUUUUCCCCAAGUAGGUUAAUCUCAUAAGAGCAGACAUUAGGCUGUUAGUGUAGGACCUGCCAAAGAUGGGGUACAUUGACGUUGUGGCAGGCUUAUGCAAUGUAUGAUUAUAUAAUGUAACUAAACCCCCAUUAUUUUUGCCUAGAUUAGGUGUUUUUAAAAAAAACAAAUAAAAUCUUUCAACAUUGAAGUUGCUGUUUAGUGGAUAGGCGAGUGCGCUGGAUCUUGUGUAUUAUAUAUAUAUAUAUAUAUAUAUUUUUUUUUUUUUUUUUUAAACAAGGGGCUGGCUGCAUUCACCUGAACAUGCUUAAAUGGGGUGCUGCUGGGGGUCAAUAAGUACAGUAAAAAUUAACAGGAUUUUUACCCCAUUUAAGCAUGUUCAGGUGAGUGCAGCCAGUCCAUUGUUUAUAUAUAGCGGAGAGCUAGAAUUUCAUAGCCUACCUCCACUUGUAGUUCCCAGUGAGGCUCAGGAGCAAGUAAUUAUAAAUCCAUAGGCAAGGUAUCCAGCAGGUAAAACAAUACAGCAGUAUCCCAACAGCACUCCCAAUAACUGGACGACACACAGUAUCAGGAGUAGAACUAAAGAUUUAUUCAGACAGUGGCCUUAUAAAGCAUGCUCCCAUGCAAGGGAGGGAUUUCCAUUCAUUAGUACAGUAGCCAAUCCUGUUUUGGUAACCUCCCACACAUCUCCUCCCCUCAGCCUGCAUCAUAAUCCCCUUAUCCAGGACACCAUUUCCCCACGUUUCUGGAUGUUCCCCUAAACCUAGGGGUACCGCUUUAAAUUAUACAUGCUGUUCGGCUAAUUCUCACAAAAUCCUUAUGUGACGAAUUGCCCUUCGCCACUUGGUCCUGGAGAGGCCUGCUUGCCAGCCUCCUCCCCUGUGACUAUGACUCUUUGAUGUAAUUGGCUUUAAAGCCCCUAUUCUACCUUCAGACAGACUAUUUAUGUAGGUUGCUUUAUUUCUCUUAUGUUUUAGUCACCCUGUACCCAUUAUAGGUGCAGGGUGUGUGUAAUGUAAUUGUUUAUAGUGUGUGUGUGUACUGUUAAAUGUAUUGCCUGCUCUCCUGUACUGCUGAGGUUUGCUACCAACUAGGUGGAUUUGGCUAUGGAGCUUGUCUAGUGCCCUCUGUUGGUAGCAACAGCAAUAUGCACUACCUGAAUAGCAAGACUGGUUAAUUUGCAUAUUCGGGUAGAUUUGCAUAUUGCUAAUUCUGCAGGCACGUGAUAUAUUUUUUGUNNNNNNNNNNNNNNNNNNNNNNNNNNNNNNNNNNNNNNNNNNNNNNNNNNNNNNNNNNNNNNNNNNNNNNNNNNNNNNNNNNNNNNNNNNNNNNNNNNNNUACCCUAUCCCCCUCGUCACUGAGUUGUUUGAUCGUGUUAAAGGUUCUAAAUUCUUCACCAAAUUAGACCUCAGGGGGGCUUAUAACCUUGUCCGUAUAAAGGAGAAUGACGAGUGGAAGACAGCGUUCAACACAUGCAAUGGGCAUUACGAAUAUCUGGUCAUGCCUUUUGGACUGUGUAAUGCUCCUGCCGUGUUUCAGGACCUCAUAAAUGAUGUCUUUAGGGAUCUAUUGCAUGUCUGUGCUGUGGUGUACCUUGACGACAUACUUGUGUAUUCUCCUGAUUUGAAGUUACACCAUAACCAUGUUAGGAUGGUGCUCAAAAGGCUAUUACAGAACGGACUCUACUGUAAGUUAGAAAAAUGUUUAUUCGAUCAGACCUCUGUGCAAUUCCUAGGAUAUAUCAUUACUGAACAGGGUUUCAGUAUGGAUCCUGCUAAAUUGGAAGCUAUACUGUCCUGGCCACUUCCCCAAGGACUGAAGGCUAUCCAGCGUUUUAUAGGAUUUGCCAACUAUUAUAGGAAAUUUUUAAAAAACUUUUCACCACUUAUCUCUCUUAUAACAAAGCUGACAAAAAAAGGCCUACACCCUAGGGUUUGGACUCCUGAAGCCCUUAAGGCCUUCGAAACCCUCAAGAAGGCAUUUGCCUCUGCUCCAGUGCUGCACCACCCUGAUCCUUCUCUUCCCUUUGUUAUGGAAGUAGACGCUUCAGAGUCGGGUGUGGGAGCAGUACUGUCACAGAGGUUGUCGUAUGACAAACCCCUCCAUCCCUGUUGUUAUUUUUCUAAAAGGUUGUCUGAUCCAGAGAAGAAUUACGAUGUUGGGAACAGGGAACUAUUAGCUAUUGUGUUAGCUUUUAAGGAAUGGAGGUACUUAUUAGAGGGCUCUAGACACAAAAUUAUGGUUAUAACAGAUCAUAAGAACCUCUCCUAUAUAGCUGAUGCUAGAAGGUUAUCUGCCCGGCAGGCUAGAUGGUCUCUAUUUCUCUCACGCUUCCAAUAUGUUAUUACCUAUAGACCUGGUUGCCGUAAUGCCAAAGCUGACGCUAUCUCUCGACAGCAUGAACCAGUAGAAUUUGUUAACCCGCCUCCUGAACCUAUUGUACCUGCGUCUCAGAUAAUAGCUGCUACCCAUUUGGUUGUUUCUUCACCUACCAAACCCAAGCACCCCCUGAGACGCCGGUUGGUAAACUAUACGUUGAAGCAAAUGACAGAAAAAAGUUGUUAACUUUAUUUCACACCGCCAAAACUGCUGGUCAUCCGGGGGUUACCAAAACCUACAAGGGCCUCCUUCAACAGUUCUGGUGGCCUUCACUCAAGCGAGACAUAGUGGAUUUUGUUCAGGCUUGUCGGGUCUGUACGCAGUGUAAGUCCCUUAAUGUGAGACCCCAGGGUUUACUGAUGCCUCUAUCUAUACCCAAGAAACCAUGGACCCACUUAUCCAUGGAUUUCAUUGUAGACCUUCCUCUUUCUGAUGGUCAGACGGUGAUACUGACUGUGACGGAUAGGUUCUCUAAAAUGGCGCACUUUAUUUCGCUUAAGAAACUGCCUUCUGCGGUUCAGUUAGCUCAGGUGUUUGCCAAAGAAGUGUUCCGCUUGCAUGGGGUACCUCAGGAUAUCGUAUCUAACAGGGGUCCUCAAUUUGUCUCUCAGUUUUGGAGGGGCUUUUGUGCUGAGAUGGGGGUCUCCUUGUCGUUCUCUUCCUCCUAUCACCCGCAAUCUAAUGGUGCGGCUGAACGUGCUAAUCAGUCUGUGGAAUUGUAUUUGCGCUGCUUCACUAAUGCGCACCAGGAUGACUGGUCUCGCCUCCUUCCGUGGGCUGAAUUUGCCAGGAAUACGGUGUCUCAUUCGUCUACUGGCUUAAGUCCUUUUGAGGUUGCUUAUGGGUUUCGACCUUCUGUCCUUCCCGGUGCGUUCUCCGACAAGGGAAUGCCCGCCUUGGACCAGCACCUCGCCUCUUUGCGGAAGACGUGGGAUCAGGUCCAUGUUGCGCUGUCUCGUUCAGCAGCUGCUCAGAAAAAGUUUGCUGAUCGCCGUAGGGUUGCGGCCCCUUCUUAUGUUCCAGGUUAUAGGGUUUGGUUGUCCUCCAGGAACCUCCGUCUCAAGGUUCCCUCGAUUAAAUUUGCUCCCAGGUUUCUUGAUCCCUACAGGGUGUUACGUAGGGUUAACCCCGUUUCCUACUCCCUUGACCUGCCUCCUUCCAUGCGUAUCCCGAACACGUUUCACGUCUCGCUUUUGAAGCCCUUGCUGUGUAACCAGUUCUCUCGUCCCCUCGGGCGGCCCGUUUCCCCUCGCGCUGUCUCUAGCGACGUGUACGAGGUGGCUGCCCUUCUCGAUUCUCGUGUUUCUAGGGGUCGGCUGCAAUAUUUGGUGGAUUGGAAGGGGUACGGCCCUGAGGAGCGGUCUUGGGUUUCGAGCUCUGAUAUGCACGCUCCCUCUUUGGUCCGCUCCUUUCAUGCCCGGUUUUCUUUGAAGCCUUCAGCUUCCCGCCCUCCGGGUGGUCUUCGAGGGGGGGUAAUGUCGGGAUCCCGCGGGCAGCUGCGAGGGGAGGCUGCACUCCGCUCGCGGUACUCACCCUCCAGCCGUCCGCGGUCCCCUCCUCCUCGUGGGGUCGGCGAGCGACAUCCUUCCACCCUCGGAUGCCGCCUGCCGUUUCCUCCACGUCCCCCAGCGGCAGCAUGCAUGACGCUGCACGCUGGGAGACCGCCCAAAUUAUUACACGCCGGGGUCAGUCACCUGACCCGGCGUUAAAGGCACAGUGCCUCAAUCACAGUGGGAGGUUUAGAUAUCUCCCACGUGUGAUUGUUAAUUCUGAUUGGAAAUUAUCCAAUCAGAAUUAACCUUAUGGUUUAAAUACUUAGCUUUCCUGUUCCUCCCUGCCCUGUUGUGGUCUUUGCUUACUAGUAUUGCUACUUACCUUGUGUUUCUGGUUACGUACUCUCUGGCUUGUUUAUCUGACUCUGUGACUUUCUCCUACCCUUUGACCUCGGCUCGUUUCACGUUAUUCUGUCUUCUGGUUCCCCUUACUCGGCUUGUCUCCUGACUAUUCUGUGUGUGCUUAGCCCGGCCACUCUAAGGUCCGGUACGGCACCUUUUCUGUGUGUGUGUGUGUGUGUGCCAGCGUGUUGGGUUCCCCGAAUCGUGACAGCCUUCUAAUAUGUCACGUUUAAGGUUUUGGGGAAUGAGAUGUACUGGAUUAAUGAUGUUAGUACUUUUAGUGGGUAGAGGAUUAGAGUUACCUCCUGUGUUUGGUUCUGGCUGAGCUAUGGGAAUUUGGACAUCCGGGAUGAUUGUUUGGUUAUUGGAUUUCAGAUUAGCCAACCGGUUGUUAAUAGUGGCUACAGAAGUCACUAGAGAGAUCAUGUUAUGUAGUUCUGACAAACUGUUUUGCAUACUACAUUCAGAACUAGUGCCAGACCUUUCAUUAUCAUUGUGCGUGUUUAACAAGAAAAAUAGUUCAGCUUUCCUGGCUGUAGCAGGAAAUGGAAUGUUCUUCCUUUUAAGUUCAGCUGUAAUUUUUGGAAUUGUCCAAAAUCUGUAGUUGGACACUGGGCUGGCUACAACGGCUUGCCUCGUCUUGAAAUUAGAUCUGGUCGGGUGCUGGUAAGCGGCAGGUCAUCUCCUUGUAGUAAAGCGUGAGCCAUGCUAUGGGUGUGAAGUAGAUGACUUGAUUAAUAUGAUAUCCUAAUAGGUGUGAAGUAACCCAGCUCACUAGAUUUAAUACCUUAGGUUGUCUUCUUUUAAAAAAAUAUGUACAUGUGUAGGGUUAUUCAGGGAUUCCUGACAGAUAUCAGUGUUACAAUAUAACUUGUGUUAAUUUUGAAAAAAAUGGUUUGGAAAUAGAAAAGUGAUACUUGUACUUAUAGCCCUAUAACUUUCCCAAAAAAUUAAGAACAUGUUAACAUUCGGCAUUUCUAAACUCAGGACAAAAUUUCGAAACUAUUUAGCACGGGUGUUUUUUGGCGGUAGUAGAUGCGUAAAAGAUUUUGGCGGUCAAAGUUCGAAAAAGUGGGGGGUAUUUUUUUUACAUUUUUUUCAUCAUAUUUUAUAAAAAAAAUUUUUAUAGUAAAUUAGAUGGUAUGAUGGAAAUAAUGGUAUCUUUAGAAAGACCAUUUAACGGCGAGAAAAACAGUAUAUAAUGUGUUGGUACAGUAAAUGAGUAAGAGGAAAAUUACAGCUAAACACAAACACAGCAGAAAUGUAAAAAGAGCCCUGGUCCUUAACGGUAGGAAAAUUGAAAAACAGUCUGGUCACUAAGGGGUUAAACUAUAAUGUGGGAAAGAGAAACAAAUUUCACUCCUAGGGAAUGGAGAGAAAAUAAAUACUCGAACGGAACCUUCAUACGAAUUUAGAAAAAAAAUUAGAAAUGUGGUUUUAUUUACAGUUUUUGCUAAAAUAAUGUGUGUAUAAUUAGUGCAGGUUAAAAAAGUAAUUAAAAAUAAAUUCAUUUAGUUGUUCUGACUUACAGAAUAUAUAGUGUGUCUGGGAUUUUAAGGUUUGUUUAGUAGUUACAGGUCACAAAGCACAAGGCAUAAAAUAAACUUUUAAUGUGGAGCGAUUUUAGAAUUUGGUAUGUUUGUCUUGUAAGCUUAAUAGCCAAAAAAGAAAACAAAAUUGCCACACAAGUAUAUAUUUAUAUAAAGAAAACAUCACAGGCUAUUGUCCUAAGGUUGUUUUGACACUUUCUAUGUAGCCAUUUCACCGCCAAUCUCUGCUAAAUAUUUAAGUAUAAUUGUGGGUAUAUAUAUUUUGCAAAUCUUAUGUGUGCUAUGACUGUAUAAUACUACAUAUGUUGCUCAGCUAUGUUGCCUGAGUACAGCAAUACCCCUGUAUGUACCUUUGCCAGGUAUAUGUGGAUGUUGAAGGGGCAAAUUUGAGACGCAGCCAUUCAGUUUUUUUCUAACUUUGAAGUUUUACGCUAUGUCCAUGUUCCAUUUUGGAGUAGUUUAGUUGGUUGGUUAUUGAAACUUCCACACAAAUACAUACUAUUUAUUAAAGAAUACACCCUGGGGUAAUUCAAAAGGCUUAUUGUGAACUUUAGCGCAGGAUCAUUUUUUCUCUAGUUUGUUCCAGGUGUAAUGGUAAUGAGCAUUUUUAAAUGUAUUUUUUUUUUACUCUUUAAAAAGUUUUUUAAACUUUUUUUUGCUUAUUUUUUUAAACUUUCUUAAAUCUUUUUUUUUAAACAGAUUUAACAUUAUUAUAAGCUUUAUUUUUAUUUUUUUUUUAUUUUUUUUACUGUUAACCCCUCACUAGCAGUAAGCAGCACUAACGGUAAAUUUCCCAUAACUCCCACCCACCCCAGCUAACAAAAUACAUCAUGUUAAAAUAUUUAAACAAUUAAAUAAAUUGAACCCCUAAGGGUUAAAAAUAAAAUCGGAUCACAGUACAAUACUGUGAUCUGUAUUUUGAUCACUGUAGGUAGUGAUCAACUGGCAGGGAAGGGGUUAAUUUUUAUUUGGAAUGGGCAAGGAGGGUGGAAUUUUUUAAUUUAAAAAAAAAAAAAUUAUUAAAACAUUUUUUCAACUCUUAAAACUUUCUUUUUUACUUUUUAACGUUAACCCCUAGUUAGCCUAACACCACAUUCACCAAUUCCCUACUAACUUCCACCCACCCCAGCUAGCUAAAUAUAUUAUUUUAAUAUAUUUAAAUUCAUUUAAAAAAUGAGAUCACAGUUAAAUGUAUACCCUGCCAUUUGAUUACUGUAGUCAGUGAUCAAUUGGUAGGGAAGGGGUUAAUUUUUUUAUUAAAAUGCGUAAAGGGGGGUGGGAUUUUAAAUUAACUUUAUUUUAUUUUUUUAACAGGGACAAGAGCAGGUGUGAUCCGCCUCCCUGAACUUCGCAUAGAACCAGGAAGUGCAGAGAGACGGAAGAUAAGUAUCUGCAGCACAUGUCAGCAUGUCAGAGCGAGCACUGCUGCAGGGGCAGCCCGAUCAGGUGCUCCCGUUCUGCCUCUAAUACAGAGGCAGACCGGAGCACCGUUAACCCCGCAAUCGCCGCGAUCUGGGGUUAAUUUUAACGUAUGACAGACGAGGUCCGUCGCCCGUCGUUAAGAGUCUCCCCUGAAUGGGUUAAUAUAGCAUUAGACACAACAAACCUAUAACACAUGUGUCAAUCAUGACACAGACGGGCAGUCACGAGCUCGUUUUCUGUAACCUAUGGCUGGUCUGUGUGCCUGGCAUUUUCACAAACAUUAGUCCUGGAAAUUGGAUACUCUCUUCUUGGACAGUGUCAUAGAACUUAUGCAUGGAGACAGGGAUGAAUAAAAUAAUUUGAGCAAACAAGGACAUAGGAUUUUGUAAAACAGUUCAUGUGUGCAGGGCCUUAUGUGUGUUUUGUGGUUACUUGUCAAAGUAUCCUGCUCUGGAUGUAUUUAACCUACUCACAUCACUCUCCGCUUCAGUAUUUCUUCUCAUUAGAACAAUUCAUGUAUUCAGGGACUUUUGUGUGUUUUGUGGUCACAUUCCGUUUACCAGUAUGCAACAAUCUAAACACCAUACUAUCAGUGAAAUAUAGGUAAAAAGUAACAUAGCUUGAAAUCAAAAUACAGCCUCUCAAGAUCACUAUACACACAAAAUGACCUUCACAAUGUAUAGAAAACCAGAAACAAAUAUACGGGAUAUGGCUGAGCAAAUCUAUAAAGGAACAAAGAAAGCAAAAUAGUGUAAUACAGUAUAUACAAUAAAUCAUGCGCUGUACAAAAUUGCACUCACGAGAUAGCGAAGAGUUAAGCGCUCAUAGGGUACCUCCCCCGAUGGUGUGGGGGGCUACAAAUCCCCUUGUUACUGCAGGAUGACCAAUGGUACACAGGACUUCAAAUGGAUGAGAGUUAAAAAUCCACUUUUUUUAUUGUUUAAAAGAUGAAUAAUCACCAUUCAGAAUAGGAUAAAAAAUACAAGCGGUAGGUCCUACGCAUUUCGUUCCACUAAGGAACUUCUUCAGUGACCGCAGUAACAAUAAAAUCAAACACAGUAUUACACAGUGUAAAAAUAACAUAUCCUACCCCCAUUCCACAAUCCCUUUAAAAAGGGCUAUUCCCUGUGUCCAUUGGUGGAUCAGUGGGUGUUUCCAUCAAUCUGUCUCCUCAUUGGUGUAAAGACGAUCUUCCUCAGCUGUUUAUACUACUUGUAACUUCAUUUCAAUCAAAGUUUGCGCGUUCGAGAAAACCGGAAGUAAGCAUAGUAUUCUACUUCCGCGUUCCAAGUGCGUUCCACAUGCGUGUCACCCUCACAUUCGUGUAAUUGGAGAGUGCCAGACCUUCUAAUACAUCGUUGGUGGGCAACAUAAAUAUACAAAGCAGUGCACAUCUACUUAAAUAAAGAAUAUAUUAGUGUUGGAACAAAAUAACCAAAAAAUAAAUAUUUAGCUAAGUACAGUUGAAAGGAUAGUGAAAACCACCAGGUAUAUUCUAUUAUUUUUAACCAAGUGUACUACUAUCUUAAAUGCACUUAAUAAAGUGCUAUCGUACAAUAAUUAAAGUGACAGGUGCAUUAGAACACUUGUAAGAUAUUGAAUAUGUGAAACUGAUAGGAAAUACAAUAAAAAAUAGUGGAAACCACAAUGUAUGCUCUAUUAUUUAUACUACAUUGUGCAAUCAUCUUCGAUCCACAUCACAAGAUGUAAUCAUCAGUUAUUAAAGUGACAAGUGCUUAGAACAUUGGUGAAAAUAUUGAAUUUUAUAAUACAAUGUGAUACUGUUCCCCCCCAAAAAAUAGAAAUAAAUUGAAAUCGAAAAAAAUAAAAGGAUCCAAUUACUGGAUCAGCACACAUACCGAUGUCUGGAUAAAAAAGUGUAUCUAUAAAUGGCUAACACAAAAAGAUGAUAAAGAACCAAUUUAUUCCCUUUGACAGAUGGUUUGAACCAUGGUAUAAUGUAACAACAUUCAAAGAGAAUAAAGUAAUGCCAAGCAAAUCCAACUUAUUAGAUACAUUAACCCCCUUUAUGGGGUGGUGUGUGUGUGUGUGUGUAUGUGUAUAUAUUGUGAUCCUUGUUUGCAGGUAGCACGGUCCUCUAGGGCAAAAACAUGCACAGUCCUUGUAAUUGCAUAUACUCAGGCACUUUAUUUUGUAAAUCCACACAGGAUACAGCAGUAAAUGAAAACAAAAGUAACAGAAAACCCUAUAAACAAAAACCUAGCUCGUCUGAACACUAACUGACAUUAGUUCCCUAUCUCUCAGGGUUAAUCUAAACACAAUAUUGCACCAACCUUAUUAGAGAGCAACGCUCUGCUAGCUAGCCUGUUGCUUUCCUUUCUGCACUCCCAGUGCUCCAAGCCAGCCUUGCCCUGACUGCUUUCCUUUCUGCACUCCCAGUGCUCCAAGCCAGCCUUGCCUUGACUGCUUCCUUUCUGCACUCCCAGUGCUCCAAGCCAGCCUUGCCCUGACUGCUUCCUUUCUGCACUCCAAGUGCCUAGUCUCCUUGACUAUCUGGAGAGAACAGCCUCUCUCUCCUACCUGCUUCCUGGGAGGAAGCCAGCAAUCCCUCUCCUUUACCUGCCUAGCAGGUUGGAUUUUAUUCCCACUGCAACAGCUCAUUAACUGCAGCUGAGCAGUGGGUUGGAGAGGAUCCAAAAAACCCUGGCCUGGAUCCAUGUCUCCCCAGAAAACCACUAAACUGUGGAGUGGAGCAUUGACCCACCCUUCUCUCCAAAUGCUCCACCACAGGGGCCCAUAACUAAACAGCGUUUUGUGUUGCCUACAACACAUCCUACACAUACUCCCCCUGGGGUUAAAAGGCCUAUCUGCCUUCACUUUAUCACAAUAUAUAUAUAAUGUAUAUGUAAUACAUUCUCACGAUAUUAGAUGGAAUAUUUACAGAUAAUCAACCCCUAGUUUCCAAAGUAUUAAGUCUAUGUAUCC